rnacentral:misc_RNA from 1 species
UCUGUGAGCCACUGAUGUAUUG